ACUGUGUCCUGCUGGCUUAGAGGCAGUUGGAGGUGUGGAAAUCAAUGUCAACUAAAUCACAAGCUCGAACACAAGCUAUCAGAAAUCUUUCAUUCUCUGCUGCCAUCUUGUGACUGCUCCUGUGACCUGCUGGUGUAUAACAAAAUCCGAGAUACUUCUUCCCAUGGAAGUGCACCUGUGGUGCUCUGAAAGCACAGCAGGCUGGAGAUUGAUGAGGGGUGUCAGACAGAAGAAAUUAGGCUCUUGAACCUGUAUGUUAAAGAACUGUGAGAAGCACCUGCUUUCUCAGUUUGCUUUGACAAAUUCCAUCAGAAUAACCUACUCUCUCUGAACUGCAGUGAGCUAGUGAUGAGAUUCAUAGCUCACAUGCCAACUAUAGCUGCAUCCUUUUUUGAACCUACUUUAUGGUUGGAAGGCAAAGCCAUGUGGUAAUAAAACUGCACUGGGUGCUAUUUAUUAAGUCUUCAUGGCCAUAAACCCUUUCCUUCACCCUAUACCAUUCCCCAGGGAACUCUGCACACCUCCUGCAUUCUGUACCUUAGUGAUACCUCAAUAACCCAGCUGAAGGGUGGCAUGCAAGGGGCAGCCAUCUCCAGAAUGCUAACUUCUCUGCAUGUACCCCUGCAUCUUUGUCUGAACAAGGCUGUGCUGUGUCUGGAUGUGCUGCACCUUGGAAGAACUGGGGAGCUUUGACCUUUGCUGCUUCCCUAACAGCUUGAACUUGCAGUAGGAAAGCUGGCCUGUGUUUGACUUACUCAGUGGA